rnacentral:rRNA from 1 species
AGUGAACGCUGGCGGUAGGCCUAACACAUGCAAGUCGAACGGCAGCACAGGAGAGCUUGCUCUCUGGGUGGCGAGUGGCGGACGGGUGAGGAAUACAUCGGCAUCUACUUUUUCGUGGGGGAUAACGUAGGGAAACUUACGCUAAUACCGCAUACGACCUACGGGUGAAAGCAGGGGAUCUUCGGACCUUGCGCGAUUGAAUGGGCCGAUGUCGGAUUAGCUAGUUGGCGGGGUAAAGGCCCACCAAGGCGACGAUCCGUAGCUGGUCUGAGAGGAUGAUCAGCCACACUGGAACUGAGACACGGUCCAGACUCCUACGGGAGGCAGCAGUGGGGAAUAUUGGACAAUGGGCGCAAGCCUGAUCCAGCCAUACCGCGUGGGUGAAGAAGGCCUUCGGGUUGUAAAGCCCUUUUGUUGGGAAAGAAAUCCAGCUGGCUAAUACCCGGUUGGGAUGACGGUACCCAAAGAAUAAGCACCGGCUAACUUCGUGCCAGCAGCCGCCGUAA